rnacentral:rRNA from 1 species
GGGAAUAUUGGACAAUGGGCGCAAGCCUGAUCCAGCCAUGCCGCGUGAGUGACGAAGGCCUUAGGGUUGUAAAGCUCUUUUGGCGGGGACGAUAAUGACGGUACCCGCAGAAUAAGCUCCGGCUAACUUCGUGCCAGCAGCCGCGGUAAUACGAAGGGAGCUAGCGUUGUUCGGAAUCACUGGGCGUAAAGCGCACGUAGGCGGAUUUGUUAGUCAGGGGUGAAAUCCCGGGGCUCAACCUCGGAACUGCCUUUGAUACUGCAAAUCUAGAGUCCGAGAGAGGUGGGUGGAAUUCCUAGUGUAGAGGUGAAAUUCGUAGAUAUUAGGAAGAACACCGGUGGCGAAGGCGGCCCACUGGCUCGGUACUGACGCUGAGGUGCGAAAGCGUGGGGAGCAAAC